UAAUUUUCUUCUCAUUCACUCACGCCUCACAUUCACUCCUAGCGGCGCUCUCCUCCUUACCUCCUACCACCACCAACACUAAUGACCACCUUCAUCUUUUUUUCUUUCUCAACUCACUCUCUUACCUAACGCAUAAAACCCUAACACAAACAAAGAGGAAGAAAUCCACUUCAAUCGAUCUUCAUCCUUCCUCCUCACUUUCACUCCUUCAAAUUAUGAAAUAUUGCAUGUCUAGAUCUGAAAGACACAUGGAAAGUGGUAGUGGAUCCUUUACCUCAAAUUCCAAACAUUUGCAAGAACUCAAGGAGCCGAUGUGUUUGAUUCGGUGGAAGAUCAAGGAGUUUGAGAACAUUGUAUUUGUAUUUAAUUGUCCAGAUCCAGUGUUACUAUUAUUAUUUUAAAGGCCAAUGUAUUUAUUUUCUUUGAGAGUGAGAAGUCUGUAAAUUAUUAAGCAUGGAUUGUAUUAGUUUUUAUUUUUUAAGGAAUGGUUUGUAUUAGUUCUUUGAGA